GGCGGAGCUUAUAACAAUGAUUGACAGGGAGCUAAGAUGGAGGUGGCUCUCUCUAUACUGACUGCCAGGUGUAAAGGGCAGAGCUUAUAACAAUGAUUGACAGGGAGCUAAGAUGGAGGUGGCUCUCUCUAUGCUGACUGCCAGGUGUAAAGGGCAGAGCUUAUAACAAUGAUUGACAGGGAGCUAAGAUGGAGGUGGCUCUCUCUAUACUGACUGCCAGGUGUAAAGGGCGGAGCUUAUAACAAUGACUGACAGGGAGCUAAGAUGGAGGUGGCCCUCUCUAUACUGACUGCCAGGUGUAAAGGGCGGAGCUUAUAACAAUGAUUGACAGGGAGCUAAGAUGGAGG